UACGUAGGUGGCAAGCGUUGUCCGGAUUUAUUGGGCGUAAAGCGAGCGCAGGCGGUUUCUUAAGUCUGAUGUGAAAGCCCCCGGCUCAACCGGGGAGGGUCAUUGGAAACUGGGAGACUUGAGUGCAGAAGAGGAGAGUGGAAUUCCAUGUGUAGCGGUGAAAUGCGUAGAUAUAUGGAGGAACACCAGUGGCGAAGGCGGCUCUCUGGUCUGUAACUGACGCUGAGGCUCGAAAGCGUGGGGAGCGAACAGG
rnacentral:ncRNA from 3 species